GACUGAUGGCUGGUCUGUUAGCCUUUCCUCAGGGAUAGUGUGUUAUGAGUAUGGUAACAGUAAGGAAGUCAAAUGCUUGAAUUGCUUGGAAUUGGAGAAACAAGGGAUAUGUCUUGCUUUUAAUAAUUUUGAAGAAGAAAAGACCUUGAGAGGUUAUCUAUUCCACCCCUUUUGCUGAAGAUGUGAUAAACCAUACAAAUUACUUAUACUGAAUGCCUGUCUAAUUUGCCAGUGAAUAUCUACACAGUUUCCCAAAGUGAUCUCAUCUAUACUCAGCAGUUCCUGUCAUUAACGUUUUUUCCCCAAGUGUCUGAAAAGUCUUACAGUAAAUGUAUGUGAAAUAUUUCUUUAAUCCUUUGCCAAGAACUUAUGGAAAAUGACAUUCUCAUACUAUCUGCAACUAUUUCUCAUGUAACUGAGCAUUAUCGUGCUAUCUCUCUCCUUUUCUUUUGCAGAUGAAAUAAUUACAGUUUCUUUAAUCUUGCCUUGUAAUGUUUUUCAGACCAUUUAUCAUUCUUAUUUCUCUUACCUGCUGCUUCUUCUGGAGUAUUUCUCCCAUUUGUUGUGGCCUUUUUGAAUUGGUUACCUGAGGAACAGGAAAUUAAAAAAAAAAGUGGUUAUUUUUCAUAUUUCAGAGAAUAUACUAAUGAAGACCUGUAGAGACCUAUGCUCUGUGCUUUCUGUAUCAAUAAAAACUGACUUUGAAAGAGCUGGGGGGAAAAAAAAGGCAAAACAAAACAAAAAAGCUUAUUUCCAACAUCUAUUAAAUGCAAAGUAAUGCACUUGUAGGAAAGACAAAAACCUUAACUGUAAAAAUAAUAAAACAGAAAAAGAAAUAAAUGAUGAUUUCUUACUUAGCAGUGCUGUGUUCUUUGAGGCUGUCAGCCCACUGAUAAGUCAGAAGGCAAAACAGAAUGGAAGGAAAUACGGGAAAAGUGAAAUCAAACCAGCGAAUAUGCUGUGAGCUGGACUCCAUUUUGAAUACUGAUGUAGCUGGGGUUACCUCAUGUCUAAAAUGGUAGAAUAAAUCAAGAGAAAGAGGGAUGCAAGGUAGGAAAUAAUUUCCAUACCAGUAGAUAAGAGCGGAGUUGGAACUGUUCUAUUUUUUGAAAGGUAUGGUUUGAAGGUGAAGGUAUCUGAGACUGGAACGUAAUUAACUGUAUGCAGAGAUUGUUGGUGGAAUAAUUGUUUUUGAGAAUAAAACAAAAUAGGGUGAAACUUUAAGUGGCUGUUAUUGCCUUACCACUUAAACCUUCAGGUUUGCUUAAAAUUAACUUAUACUGUAUUCUUUGAAUUCUAACGUAACGAUUGAAGGUAAGAAAUUGCUGCUACUUUUACUGUUAGAUUAUAUUUUUUACAGAUUAUAUACAUGUUUAUGUCAAAUUACUUGAGUUAAGAAAUGCAAGUGGACACACUUCAGCAUUUAUAAUUUAAAAUCUAUUGAGACUCAGUUUAGCUCUUUUUAUUGUAAAUUCAAUAAUAAGGUGCAUUAAGGCAAGCUAGGAUAAUGUAGUCAAUUGCAACUUAAUAUGAUAGUGACUUUUAACAAGCUUUAAUUUUUGUGAAUGGACAGGAUGACUUGUGGUCAGCUGCUGUGGACGUGGUGGUGGAGUCACCGCUGUAGGAAAAUCCAUUUGUGUCACUACCCCACCUGUAUGUGACGUGUUGUGUGAGGCUGGCAGCUGUGUGCUCAUUGUCUCAGCUCUUCUUCCUCUCUCCAGCUUGGAGGUAGUCCUUGCUGCACAGGAAGCCAAUUUGCAGACUGAGAGCGUGGAGCAAAAAUUGCUGCUGCUUGGAAGCAGGGUGAAAUACUGAGACUAUAUAAUGGGGAAAAAACCAAACCCUCUUAAGUUUACUUUUUAAGCAUUAUUAAUACAUGUGCAUUAAAGUUUAAAAUCUGCAAGCAAAGCUUUUCUAACAAAAUAGCAAUGUGAUCUUUGCACUGGUUGCCUUAGAUGUGUAUUUAUGUGAGCAUUCCCUCUGGAGUAUUCAGCGUUGGAUGAAUUACUGUCUAAAUGCCCAGAUGCUGUUUUUGGGAAUCCAUAAACUUAAAAUAAAUAAAAGCAAGAGAAAGAA